rnacentral:lncRNA from 1 species
CUAACAUCACUUAUUCUCGUUCUUUUCAACCCGAUAUCUCUUUUAUAAUGUCAAAAAACUACAACUUUAUUAUUGCAAUUAACUAAUUUCAGCAUAUGAAAAACACAUAAAUAUAUGGCUUAUCGGUUAUUUAUUGUCUCAAUAAUUGUAUGUUGUGACCGUAUAUUCUAACAAAUGCCAAACUGGCUCUUAGAUUGGAUUUCUUUACUAAUUUGAAAUCAUGGGUGAAUUCAAAUAAAAAUUGCAAACUUUCGAUCAACACAAUCAAAAUUUAAAUUUUGUGAAUCUUUUUAAGUGUACGAAAUCAGGACAAUGAACUCUACGUGAAAUUCUCUGAGUAAACGACGAGUGGAUAAAACACAUAACUCCAAACACAUCCUUACAAAUGCCUUCCCCAUAUAUAAUCAACCAAAGAAAAAUUCUA